rnacentral:lncRNA from 1 species
AUAAAACCUUUUUAGAUCGCUCUCAUACAAUAUAUAAGAAUUUGUAAUCUAGAAAUCGUACCUUGAAAAUUCGAUUUGGCUUUUUCCAGUGAAGUGAUUUAGGCUCCCAAAUUACGAUCCGUCACCACCACUCCUGUUAGAUCACGAUCCGUCACCACCACGCUUGUUAGAUCACAAACUAUCACCAAUGAUCUUCCAGGUUAUGACUCAGUUUUGAUCUGCACUUGACGUGCCCGCCUUUAUCACUACCAAAUUUCUCUCAACAAUAGAGAGAAUAAUCUUUUUCUCUAAUCUGUAUAAAGGGGCUGCUCUCUCUUUUUUAAAGAAAAUAAGUCUUUUUAUAUCUCUCUUUAGUGAAAAUCCUAGACUCCAAAUAAUGAAAAUCAAAAGCCACGUUACUUACUAUUUCUAUAGGGGGCCCAUCUUGUAAAAUAACAUAAAGUCCCUUACAUACAAGCAUAUUAAAUGGAGCCUCCCACUAAAUGAUAUAUUUAGGCUUUUAACCCAAAUAGCUAGUUAUCUUGCUUAUUAAUCCAGUAGUGGUGCAGUCAAUUAAAUGAGCUAACCCGGGGAUCAUUUUGGAACAUACAAUAGUGGCUAUAAUAAUUAGGCUUGUAAUUAAACUAGCCCAAUUAUUUAAUUCAAAAUCUACUCCACUAAAAGAUUGGAAUUGACCUUCAUAAUUGUAUACUCGAAUAAUAAUUCGUCUCAAGCCACAUUGAUUUCCUUACUGCAUAAUCUUUUGUACCACAUCGUUAAUUAAAUCGACAUCUCAACUGUCCAAUCGAUUUAAUUACAUCUUAUUCCUUAAUAUUUACUAGUUUUCUCUAAUGACCAUUUUCAACAUACUAAAUAUGUUGACACACUCUGGCCAGAGAAUUCAAUGAUCAAGUGCCGAAAACCCAUCAAGAAAUGUGUUGUACAAAUUCUAUAUUGUUAAUCUAUAACUUCAAUACUCAUAAAUGCUCCCACCAAGAUACCAGGUAAUCUAGACUACAAGUAUGUGUCAUGCCCAUUGGUAAGUCAAAUGGAAUAACAAUUACAAUCAUGAAAUCAUAAUUAACUCAAGAUUAAGAUUACAGUAAAAUCAAUGCCUAUGAGAUUUAAUAAGUCUGAUAGUUAUUACAAAGUUAAUUGAAUCUCAUAUGUGAUCCUGUUCAAUGUAGUCGUACUACAUCAAUAAAUUCAUACAUGAUUAAAAAAAAUCAUUCAAUGAAUUUAUUACAGUCUAUACCUAAAUAAAGUACCCAACUUUAUUUAUCAACUGCGAACUAAAUUUAUUUAAUCAUAAGAUAACUUAUAUUUAUGUCUUCUAUAAAUCCACAUGAUGAUCAUAUAAAUACAUAUAAUAUGAUUAAAUAGACUUUAAUAAAAAUAUUAAUGCAAUUAAGACAUUUGAAUAAAAUACCUCAAUUAUUUUAUUAAUCUGAAAAUUUAUUUUUUACAAUUAAAUAAACACAUAUGCUUUUAAAUAACAUAUUUUCCCAACAAUCUCCCACUAGCUCUCAAAGCAUAUUUGGCAUCUCACGCAUGCCCAUGAAUUCUAAGUGCAAGUUAAAAGGUUUCCCAGGUAUGGCCUUAGUAAAAGGAUCUGCCAAGUUUUACAGUGACGCAAUCUGAGUAACCUCCACAUCACCUCUCUGCACUAUAUCCCUUAUAAGAUGAUACUUCCUCUCAAUAUGUUUUUGUUUCUUGUGGUUCCUUGGUUCCUUAGAUUGAGCUACCGCAUCACUAUUAUCGCAAAAUAGUUUAAGGGGUGCAGUUACAGUAGGUACCACCUCAAGAUCUUGUAGGAACUUGCGGAGCCAUACAGCUUCUUUUGCAGCUUCGGAUGCAGCCACAUAUUCAGCUUCAGUUGUGGAGUCUGCGAUAUUAGAUUGUUUCACACUCCUCCAACUAAUAGCUCCACUUCCCAAUGUAAACACAUAGCCAGAAGUUGAUUUUCUGGAAUCCUUAUCUGACAUAAAGUCAGAAUCAGUAUAACCCACUGGAAUGAGUUCAUCACCAGAAUACACAAGCAUAUAAUUUUUAGUUCUUUUCAGAUACUUCAUUAUAUGCUUGACCGCAGUCCAGUGUUCAUGUCCAGGAUUAGAUUGAUAUCUACUAACCAUCCCUACCGCAAAACAGAUGUCUGGCCUAGUGCAAAACAUGGCAUACAUGAGACUUCCCACAACUUCUACAUAGGGAACUCGUCUCAUUCUCUCUAUCUCUUUAGAUGUUUUAGGUGAUUGAUCCUUAGAGAAUGUAAUUCCAUGUCUGAAUAGUAAUAAACCAGUCUUGGAAUAUUCCAUGCUAAAUCUAGCCAAUAUCUUAUCGAUAUAGACCGCUUGAGACAAGGCUAAAGUUUUAUUCUUCCGGUCUCGUAGUAACUUGAUACCAAGAAUAUAACUUGCCUCUCCCAGGUCUUUCAUAUCAAAUUGUUUUACUAACCAACUCUUUAUUGUAGUCAACACUCCUAUGUCGUUUCCAAUUAGGAGAAUAUCGUCUACAUAAAGAAUUAGGAAGGCUACAUAUUUUUCUUGAAUGAAUCCAAACGAUUUAAUUGCUUGAUCAAAUAUGAUGUUCCAUGACCGGGAUGCUUGCUUUAAUCCAUAAAUGGAUCUCUGCAACUUACAUACUAUGUAUUCUUGGCCUUUUUGUAUGAAUCCAUUUGGUUGCUGCAUGUAGAUGUCUUCUUCAAGAUGCCCAUUAAGAAAGGCAAUCUUGACAUCCAUUUGCCAAAUUUCAUAAUCUAGCACUACAGUAAUGGAGAGCAGAAUCCUGAUGGAUUUAAGUAUAGCAAUCGGAGAAAAGGUUUCCUCAUAAUCGAUUCCCUCUUUCUGAGUAAACCAUUUGACUACUAAUCUUGCUUUAAAUGUUUCCACCAUUCCGUCUACUCCUCUUUUUCUCUUGUAGAUCCACUUGUACCCUAUAGAUUUUACCCCAUUUGGUGCCUCUACAAGUUCCCAGACUUUAUUGAAAUACAUAGAUUCCAUUUCUUGAUUCAUGGCCUUUUUCUAAAAUUCAGCAUCUCUAUCUAUUAGAGCUUCGUUGUAACUAGUGGGAUCUUGUACAUGUUCAUCUGAGAUAGUCGUAUAGGUUUCUCCCAAAAACAUGUAUCUCGCAGGUAACCUAGUUACCCUCCCACUACGACGAGGUUCUAAAAGUCAUAGUUGUUCAGAGAUAAUCCUAUAUUGAUCAUCUGGUUGUUGUUGUUCUUCAUGUUCUGUAACAGACGUUGAAAGCUGAGCAUCAACCUGAUCACCUAACAGUUCUUCCAGUAUUACCUUACUCUUAAGUUUGAAGUUAUUCAUAUAGUCUUCCUCGAGGGAAGUGAAAUGUGUGCUCACGAUCACUUUCCUAUCUUGAGGACUAUAAAAUAAACGUCCCCUUGUUCCUUUGGGAUACCCCACAAACAUACAAACCUCAGAACAUGAAUCCAUUUUGUCUGCCUUUGGUUUCAGCACAUGUGCUGGUGAUCUCCAAAUACGGACAUGUCGUAAACUUGGUUUGCGACCUGACCAUAAUUCUAUUGGGAUUUUAGGCACUGACUUAGAUGGAACUAAGUUCAAGAGGUAAACUACAGUUUCCAGUGCUAGUCCCCAAAAAGAGAUUGGUAAUAACGAAUAACUAAGCAUAUAUCUCACCAUAUCCAAAAGAGUUCUAUUUCUUCUUUCAGCUACCCCAUUUUGUUGUGGUGUUCCUGGGGCAGUCAACUGAGAUAUAAUCUAAUUUUCAACCAGAUACUCUUUGAAAUCUUCUGAGAGAAAUUCACCACCUCGAUCAGAUCGAAGUUUCUUUAUAUUCUUAUCUAAUUGCUUUUCUGUCUCAGCCCUAUACUCUUGGAAUUUCUCAAGAGCUUCAGACUUAUGACGCAUCAGAUAAACAUAAUCGUAUCUCGAGUAAUCAUCAGUGAAACUGAUGAAAUACUCAUAACCUCCUCGAGCUUGUACAUUGAUUGGUCUACAUACAUUUGUAUGUAUUAAUUCAAGUGGUACUGUUGCACGUACUCCUUUGGCUGAGAAUGGUCUUUUGGUCAUUUUUCCUUCUAAACAGGAUUCACAGAGUGGCAAUGAUUCAUUUUCUAAUGGACCCAAGAGCCCAUCUUUGAUAAUUCUAUGUAUCUUAUUUUGGUUGAUAUGACUCAAACGUAAAUGCCAGAGGUAACAUUGGUUGGAUGAAAUAUUUCUUUUCUUAGAUAAAUGUGUAUGCUCAUCAUUAUUAAUCACUGUGUCAUGCAUAGAAUGGAUCAUUGGACUUAAAUGAUAUAAAUUAUCUUCCAAUGUACCAGAACAAAUAAGUCUCUUAUUAUAAAAAAUAGAAACAGAGGAUCCUAAAUUUACAGUGUACCCUUGCUUUGACAAACAAGCUACUGAAAUUAAAUUCCUCUUAAUAUCUGGAACAUAAAGACAAUUAUUCAAAACUAAGUCUCAUUAUUAAAAGAUAAUAAAACAGAUCCAGUUUUCACUGCUGGCACAAACUUUCUUGUCCCUAACUGCAGCUUGACGCUUCCUUCACUUAUUUUCCUGGUUUCCUUAAACCAAUAAAGUGAAUUACAAAUAUGAUUAGUUGCUCCUGAAUCCAACACCCAAGUGUCAAUAGGAUUCUAAACUAAACAGGCCUCAACUACAAAAAGAUUUCCCAUACCUGAUUUUACAAUCUUAGGGCAAUCCUUUUUCUAAUGACCUUUCUGUCCACACUUGAAGCAUUUGCCUUUCGGCUUGCCAUCUUGCUUGGUAGACGGUCUCUUUUUCUCAGCUUUCUUCUUACCUUUGCCUUUCGGCUUAGGUCUAGAAGAAGAACCUCUUUCAGCAAUAUUUAUGCUUCCCAGAGAUUUCUCAGCACGAUAGAUCUCUUCAGCAGAAUGGAGUUCGUUCAUCAAUUCAGUUAAGGUCAUGUUUCUUUUGUUCAUGUUAUAAUUGACCUUAAACUCCUUGAAUGUUUCUGGCAGAGAUUCUAGCACCAUGUCAAUCUUUAAGUUAUCAUCGAUUUGUGCUCCUUGAAUCUCAGCCUCAUUCAAAGAGUCCAUCAUUUUGAGGACAUGAUCAUGAACUCUUGUGCCCUUCCCCAUUUUACUGUUCAUAAUUCCUUUCAGCACUGCUUGUCUCGCGGAGCGAGUACUCUAUCCGAACAUCUGUUGGAGACUAUCCAUUAUUUCAGUGGCAGUCUCCAAGUUCUGAUGUUUGGUCUGCAGAAUAUUAGAAAUCGAGGCUAAAAUGUAGCAUUUUGCCAUUUCAUUGGCCUUUUGCCAUUUCUCAUAAAGCCUCCUCUGAUUUCUAUGAGCAUCAUCUGCUAGAACUGGAGGGCAUGGCUGGGUUAAGGCAUAUUUAUAAUUUUCAGCAGUCAAGACAAUGAAUAGAUUUCUUUUCCAAUCUAUAUAGUUCUCUCCAAUGAGUUUGUUUUUACUCAAAAUAAUAGUAAGUGGGCUCAGGGAAGACAUUUUCUGAAAAAUAAAACAUUCUUGCAUAAAUAAUUUGAAAUAAUAUUCACAAUAACUGACAAAAAUGUAUAAAACCAUAAAUGCAUUGUAAUUUAUUGUAACGAUAAUCUAGUACCGCUUUGACAAGCUAUCCGUUGAGGAAGUCAUGUCUAGACUUACUAGACCCAAUUACCCAUUGGAUUAUUUACUUUCAUGUAGACACAUGAUAAAUAAUUAUCAUUAUCAUUUUGGGCCUAAAUUUGUUAACAGAGCUUCGUUGGGAAGGUUAAUAACAAAUAUUAGUUGAGUGUAUAACCAUUGUUUCAAUUUACGUAUUUUUUAUAUCAAUAGUCAUCGUUGGGGUGAAUAAUCGAUUAAAAAAUAUUUCAAUUCUAUCUUUGAACAAGUUCAUCAAAUAAAAUAUCUAAUAUAUAUACCCUCCGAAGGGAGCAUCACCGUAUCAUGAAGUCGAGGUAUAUAUAUAAUUUUAUUAUUGAACUAAAAAUGGAGCUCGUGGGAAAAUUAUCUUGAAUUUUUCCUCUUCCACUCAAUAUUUUAAAAUUGGUUUUUUUCUUUUAAAACAUACAUAUUGUUAAUUGCAUGCUUCCUAUAAUAUUAUCUAGAUGAUAUCCAAUAUUAUUAAACAUACGCAAAUUUCAAACAAUAUAAUGAGAUUAAUAAUUAAUGAAUGACAUGUACCAUUAUGUAUAAAGUGGCACUACCUAUUAUAUAUAACAUGUUAUCAUGGUAUGUUAUCAUCCAAAACAUAGCAUAUUAAAAAAUAAUUAAAUAAUCUUAAUUCAUGGUUUUCCUAAAAUGGAAAAAUACAUUAACCCUAAGCCUAAUCUUCAUUGGGCUUCUUGUCAAUGUCCAUCUUCCAUAAGCUUGUCUUUGUUAAUGGACUAGGGGAAAUUUGGCUUUUAAAUUUAUUAUUGGUCCAACUUUAAUUUUGAAGGAAAUAAAUAAUUAAUUAAUUUUUUUAAUUAAAAUAAAACUUCUAGACCAAAAAUAAAUUUAAUGUGUUCAAUUUUAUCUAUGCAUUUUAAUCCAUUCAGCCCAAUUGAAAUUAGGCCUAAAACUAGGAUUCAUUAAGCCCAAAACUAUGUUUGAACUUAAAUGCAAAAAAUUAAAAUUUUCUACCCACAAGAAAGAAUAUGAAACUAUAGGGACCUCCAUGAUAAAAACCAUAAAACCCUAAAAUCACAUUUUUCUUUUCCUUCUCCCCAGCUGCCAUCUCCACAAUCAAGCCAAUGUUCAGACGCCAGCCGACCUUUGACGCAUCUUCGACGCCGAGCCACCCGCCACCGCCUCGCUGGAAACGCACCAAACCCAUGCGCGCAACUGGAAGCCCUUUGCUUGCGCUGCCGGUAGCAUUGCAGCGCGCGCUUGCUGGCAGCGUGUACUGCUGGUCGCGCGCUGCUGGCCGCUUCGAGUGUGACAUGCACCGUUGGUUGCCGCUGAAAUUUCCGACCUUCAUUGCAUUGAUAUGUCCUCACGUGAUUAUUCUCCAACGAUUUACAAAUUUUUUACGCCAAUUUUGGCUUACAAAAUUUCUAUUACACUAAAAUAAAUCAAGAGGGAAACAUGGUGAUAAUAAACCACUCCUCUUGUUACAAAUCCAAAGGAAAAAUACAGCAGAAAAUCUAACCAUGAAUUAAGACAAAGCAAAACAUGUUUUAUUCAUAUAUUAAACAAAUAAUAUAUAUUUGAAUAAAUUGUGCCACUCUAAUACAUAAAUUUCAAGAUUGAUUUCAUACAAUAUUCUUAUAUAUUAAUAUGAGAUGGCUCUGAUACCAAUUGUUGGAGAAAAAUCAAUUUUUUAAAUUUUUAUAAAACAUUUUAAGAUCACUCUCAUACAAUAUAUAAGAAUUUGUAAUUUAGAAAUCGUACCUUGAAAAUCCGAUUUGGCUUUUUCUGCUGAAGUGAUUUAGACUCCCAGAUCACGAUCCGUCACCAUCAUUCCUGUUAGAUCACGAUCCAUCACCACCACGCUUGUUAGAUCACGAACUAUCAUCAAUGAUCUUCCAGGUUAUGACUCAAGUUUGAUCUGCACUUGACGUGUGGGUGCCUUUAUCACUGCCAAAGCAACUAGCACAAGAAAAUUUUUCUCUCAACAAUAGAGAGAAAAAUCUUUUUCUCUGAUCUGUAUAAAGGGGCUGCUCUCUCUCUUUUAAAGAAAAUAAGCCAUUUUACAUCUUUAUUUAGUGAAAACCCUAGGCUCCAAAUAAUGAAAAUCAAAAGCCACGUUACCUGCUUUUUCUAUAGGGGGCCCAUCUUGUAAAAUAACAUAAAGUCCCUUACAUACAAGUAUAUUAAAUGGAGCCUCCCACUAAAUGAUAUAUUUAGGCUUUUGACACAAAUAACUAGUUAUCUUGCUUAUUAAUUCAGUAGUAGUGCAGUCAAUUAAAUGAGCUAACCCGGGGAUCAUUUGGGAACAUACAAUAGUGGUUAUAAUAAUUAGGCUUGUAAUUAAACUAGCCCAAUUAUUUAAUUCAAAAUCUACUCCACUAAAAGAUUGGAACUGACCUCCAUAAUUGUAUACUCGAAUAAUAAUUCGUCUCAUGCCACAUUGAUUUCUUUACUGCAUAAUCAUUUAUACCACAUCGUUAAUUAAAUCGACAUCUCAACUGUCCAAUCGAUUUAAUUACAUCUUAUUCCUUAAUAUUUACUAGUUUUCUCUAAUGACCAUUUUCAACAUACUAAAUAUGUUGACACACUCUGGCCAGAGAAUUCAAUGAUCAAGUGCCGAAAACCCAUCAAGAAAUGUGUUGUACAAAUUCUAUAUUGUUAAUCUAUAACUCCAAUACUCAUAAAUACUCCCACCAAGAUACCGGGUAAUCUAGACUACAAGUAUGUGUCAUGCCCAUUGGUAAGUCAAAUGGAAUAACAAUUACAAUCAUGAAAUCAUAAUUAACUCAAGAUUAAGAUUACAGUAAAAUCAAUGCCUAUGAGAUUUAAUAAGUCUGAUAGUUAUUACAAAGUUAAUUGAAUCUCAUAUGUGAUCCUGUUCAAUGUAGUCGUACUACAUCAAUAAAUUCAUACAUGAUUAAAAAAAAUCAUUCAAUGAAUUUAUUACAGUCUAUACCUAAAUAAAGUACCCAACUUUAUUUAUCAACUGCGAACUAAAUUUAUUUAAUCAUAAGAUAACUUAUAUUUAUGUCUUCUAUAAAUCCACAUGAUGAUCAUAUAAAUACAUAUAAUAUGAUUAAAUGGACUUUAAUAAAAAUAUUAAUGCAAUUAAGACAUUUGAAUAAAAUACCUCAUUUAUUUUAUUAAUCAGAAAAAUUAUUUAUUACAAUUAAAUAAACACAUAUGCUUUUAAAGAGCAUAUUUUCCCAACAGCAACUACAAUCAAAACGCAGUAAGAUUCUAUGAAUUAAUAGUUAAUACAAACAAAUGCAUUAUAAUUUAUUUAAUACUCAUUUAUAGGAUCUUCAAUUUAAUUAAGGCAAUUAGAACUCCUUUAUCAAUAUUCAAUCUUAUAUAUAGAUACUCAUAUAUUUCUGAUUCUUGCACAUUUAUUUUAAUUCUAAUUAAGUUAUUUACAAUUCCAUUCAGAGAUUAAAAAAUAUCAAAGAGUCUCAGUUUCAUCAUCUUGACUUAUAGUGGUAAGCACUGAAAACAUGUUUUAGUGGUAAGCACUGAAAACAUGUUUAUUGUAGCCACUACUUCUGGCUAAGAAUCUAACACAGAUGCUUCACUUUCUCCUAAUCUUGCAGCCUCAUCUCACAGAGUCGAUUACUCCGGGUUUAGAAGAGAAGAGUGCUUGGUCCUGAAGACUAAGAAUGCUCAAAAGAACUAUCUCUAUCCAUGCCCUCCGAGAGGAUAGAAAUGAUUUGCUAAUUAAUCAUUUCUCUUACGUUGUAUUUGCACUUUUAUAACAAUGAUCAACUUUUAGAGAAAUUGAAACUAUGUUUUAAUAAAAUAAUAAAUAUAUCAAUCCGGUAUUAGUUUUUGAUGUGAUGUGAUAUGUUUUUAUGUGUUACGUGGUGCCUCUUUCUUGUAUACAUAUUAUUGAACGAAUCACUUACAGAGGAGCUUGUUGGAUGCUAAUUAUGAAAAAAAAAUUGCAAUUACUUAACACACUUUCUAUUUUAUUUUAUAAGUAAGAUACUGCAACAAACUAUUGCAAUAAAAUAAGUUGUAUUUUCUAGUAGUUAUUUCAUUCCACAUUUAUUUGUAGAUUUAGACCCUUGAAAUAUAUGGAAGUUUAGACAUAAUGUCAAUACAAUAAUAAGGUAUUGGAAACACUUCAAUAUAGUUGUAGUAUAUUAUGUACUUAACCCUUAUAUUUAUUCAUAGAAUAGACAAUUAAGACCUAGGUCCCAUAAUAUACAAACUGGUCAAAUUAUAAAUAUAAGAAAGUAUUACAUCCAUGAUUUGAAUACCAAUUCGGAUUUUUUUAACUUAUUUUUCUACAGUUAUUUUCAUUCCAUUGUUGACUACCAAAUUUUUAAAUUUCUUAUACUUUGACUCUGAACUCACGAGAUUAUAUUAUAAAUAGGCACUCCUAUAUUUUGGAGUAAUCAAUCACUCAUGAGCCCCGUAUCAAUUUAUCUCUAUUAGUAUAUGUUUGUUCUUGUAAGCUAAGUUACAUCUUGAUUGUUAAAAUAUUAUACUUGAUGUAGAUAAAAUUUUCUUAUCACACAUGCCCUUAAAUUAGGGACGUUACAAUGUAU